rnacentral:lncRNA from 1 species
ACUUCUUCCUUGUCGUGUUACAAUUUCUGUUGACUCAUCCCAGCUCAGGGGAUGCAGAGCCACAGGAGUACACAAAAUGAUAAGGUUUUCCUUUCAAUUUAAAAGUCAUGUUUGAAGCAUUUCAUUAAGAAAUUGUAGAGAAAAACUCAUCUCUCAUUAAACAUGAUAGGAAAGGCUUCAGACAUACUUUUUGCAUUCACCUUCUCAUUAUGGGAAAUGCUGCUGCCUGUGUCACUCAGGUAUAAACCAAAAGGUCAGUUCUUUAGCAAGGAGGCUUUGUAAUCUGUUAGAAAACACGGUGACAACACCCCCAGUGCAUCCUCCUGAUUGUCGCUUCAGCUGGCCCAUGACUUCUCUCUCCCUGCUCCAUACAAUGCAGUUGCAUUUUUGGGGAAAAAAGUUUCUCUUUCUUCUCACUGUUUAGAUUCUCCUAAGCUUAAUAUUUUUAAAACGUUAGCUCCAUCUCACCCCUAAUCCAAGAGAUCCUCAUCUACGUCCCAGAGUACAGGUUGAAGAUGAUUCCCAGUAUCAUCUCCAAGCACAUCACCUCCAGAAACCUUUCUCAAAUGUUCCCUUGACCCCUCCCUACAGGCCAUCAAGGCCCACUGCUCCUGCCUCUGGAUGUUUUAACCCCCAACUUGUCUAUAACACUCACUUUCUAUGACAGUAUAUUAUGGGCAUAUGCAUGUGCAGACAUGGAGAUGGGUUCUUUUCUGCAAAACUUUCAAAACCAGCACUGCUGAACCAAAAAGAAAGUGAGUCUGGUAGAGGCUACACAGAGGUUCUAAAUCCA